CGAACAUUUUUUAUAUGAAGUAAUGACCUACAUACCAUUCAACCAGAAAAAGUAAAAUAGUUUUAACAAAACAUAUCGCUGCUUCUUCAAAAACAAAAAAUUAAAAAAAUACUUAACAUUUCAUUUUUAAUGAUAAUAAUUCAAUUUAUAUAGAAAAAUGAGUUAUGCACAAUUUCUGUUCAAACCGCAACAUUGGUCAAUUAUUGAAAAUAUGAAUAUUUUAAUUUAGUAUGCAUAAAUACACACGUCAACUUUUAUAUGAAAGCAUCGGCGAUAACUAUGAAUAAGUAUGUACACAUUUCUUGUAAAUUGUCGUAGUUGUGUAAGUCGUUCAGUAUAAGCUCAGCUGAUGCCACAAAUAAAAAUCAGCUGUGUGUGUAAGCAUGUGUGCGUAUACAAGCGAUCUUUGAGAGGUUCUAAGGAAUAUCAAUACAGAUAAAAUAUCGUUAUUCAAUAUUCGGUUCUUGCAUAUGACGUCAUUGUGAGGCGCGCUAAUCUCUAAAAUGGUGUUGUGAAUACCCCACUUUGGCGGCAGCUUAACUUUUUGUCGAUGUGUAGCGAUUCGGUGACGUGUUGUUUUCUAGUCAAACCCCAACCCAAGCAAAUGUUUGCAUACGUCUCUGCAUUUAAAGCAUUUAUUAGCAACUUUCGAAAGUGAACAAACAAAUUGGGAACAAGUAAAAAGCGUGGCCCAUACAAACGAAUUAAAGUAGAAAUAUAUCGAUUUUAAAUUGUUAACGAGUUAAAGUAGCUCAAAUAUUAAUCCUCAAAGCGUGUAAAAACAGUUGUAUUUCCGCAACGACGCAAUAAAAAGUUGUGGUUGUAAGAUUCAAAUUUAAAAAAAGUUGAUUCGUUUUGGAAGUGGAAUUUGCAACGUCAAACGGAGUAUUUCACAAUAUUUGGUAAUAUAUUAUUAUAUUAUUUUUACAAAAUUAACUAACAUCACCAUCAUCUUCGACAUAUUGCUCCUCUUCUUCUUCGUGGUGUUGUGUUUCGUCUUCCAUAAUUAUAAUUUUAAAAAAUUUGGGAGCUUGUUAUUAAUAUUUGUUUGUUUUUAACUUGGCGCGAUAAAAAACGUUUACUUAUUGUCUUGUAUUUUUAUUUAAUUUUUUUUUUCUGCGGAAGACAAGUCACGUUGCUAGUCGCUUCGUUGCUCGCAAAACUUCAACACAAUACUGAAUUAUAUGAAAAUACGGCAAUGAGCACCAAGCAAGUGGUCAGACAUUCAAUCAGCCAACAAGCAAGUCAGUCAGUGGAACAACUUUCUCCUCUAACAAAAGCAACAACAAUCACAGCAUAGGGCCAACUGAUGUGUAAUCAUAACAAAAAGCCACAGAAGAAUUAAAAACACAGAAAAAUUACAAGUGUACAACAACAACAAUAGCAAUGAAGAGAACUAAGAAAUCUUCUGGGAGACGGCGGGCAACAAGUGUUGAAAUAACCAGAAACAGCUGAGAGGCAAAAUAAAUAUUCGUGAAGUGAAUUUAAGCCAAACUAAGCUCAAAAGCAAAGAGUGCGAUAUACAUACAUACAUACGGGGAGAACGUGCAAAUGUGAAUACCAAUUGUAGCAGAACUUAGCGCUGUUCACGAACUAUUCAAUUGAGAAUUAUGAUGUGAGAGAAAUCAAACGAAAGAUAUUUUUGGAAUAUACAUACAUAUAUUGUAUUAUACAAACAAAAAAAAUAACCAGAAAAUUUGAAAUUAAAUUUAAAAAAAAAUUAUAAAAACUAGAGACUCCAACUUCUUCCAGCUGGCUACUUUUGAAUUGGUGGUCUUAUUAGCAAAAAGCAAUUAAAAUUCGGUUGGUUACAAAGCAAAAGCAUUACUAAAGGAGUAUAUGUAUACUCGUAAUUUCGCUAUAAACAAGAUCACUGUUAUUUUUUAAAUAUAAUAAAAUAUAUCUCUAUUGGUUGAAUAACCACUUUGCUAUGCUCUUUCUCAAAUGGUUUUUAGCUCACUUUUAUUUUUUUAUAUUAUUUUUGCUCACGCUCAAAACUAGUUUGGAAAUUUCUGGUUGCUACAUGUGCUUUAAGUAAGGUUUUUUUUGCAUAUAUAACUUUUUAAUAUUCUCUUUCAGCUGAUUUGCUACGUCACUUGUAGUGAGCAAGUUUUCUGUGCAUUUGGACCAUGCCUUGUAAUGUAUUAUUGUUUGCUCUUUUUUGUAAAAACUGUUAAUAUUUUUUUUUUUUUUAAAUUACAAUUACUUACAAAAUUUGAUUGGUUAACCUGUUCGAAAUCUAUACUAUAAUAUUAUAAAUGCGAAAGUCCGUUUGUUUGUUAAGCUUUCACGCAAAAACUACUUAACAGAUCAUCAUGAAAUUUUGUACAUAUACUCUUAGCGGUGUCAGAAUGAACAUAGGAUACUUUUUAUUACAAAAUUUAUAAAUUUUUGACGGAUUAUUAAAAAAAUUAUUUUUGAAGAUUAUAUAUGUUUGGAAAAUAAAUUUGAAAAUUUUGAAAUUGAAAAAAAAAGUUUGGCAGAAAUGAUUGUUUGUCGAAAAAUUAAAAUGAAAGAAAACAUAAAUGUAUAAAAUACGUAAAUCAGAGAAAUAACACAAAUAUGGAUUCGAUGCGAGCGAAGCCGCGGGUAAAAGCUAGUUUCUAUAUAUAUAUACGAAAAAUUUAAGCAUUUCGUGGAGACCCUCACAUUCUUCUAUCUGUUACCUCGGCAAAUUAGCGGUGAUAGUAGUGUUGGAAAGCCUCGUAACUUACAUUUAUAUAUGGUCAAAUAUAUACAUAGUUCGAUUACGUUCCGAACCAUUACGUUGUAGUAUUUUGAAAUCCAAAAUUUUAGCUGGUAUUCCCGAAUAUGUUGUUUAUCAAUAAUGGAAAUUUACUCUCACAUUGAUUAAAAUCGAGGCCAGAAACCAGCUGUAUAGCAAAAAUAACAUUUAAAUAAAUAUGAUGGGUAAUUUAAACGCUGGUGCUGCAACAAUUUCCGCAUUAAAAAAUUGAAAUGUUAAAGCUUUUUAUUUGCCCGAAGUAAAAUUAAAUUUUAAAUCCUGAUUUGAUCGCCAAUAAAAUCUUUCAGUUUUAUAUAAUGUAAUGCGUUGUACUAACGUUGCUGACGAACAGUUUCCAUUGCAUAUGCAAAUAAAUAUGGACACAAAUUUUCAAUUGUAAAUCACUCGCUAAAUAUGAAUUAUCUUGUUGUACAUAUGUAUGUAGAAAUAAAAUUGCCUAAUUGUUUGUUGCUUCUAAUUGAGACAAUUGAAAUAUGACUGUUGAAUAAUUCUCAUUCUAUCACAAAAGUUGUCUAAAACAUUGCUGCAAUUGCUUGAUAUAGAAUAGGUAGUAUUCGUGAACUUUUCCAAAAGUUUGUAAAUUCUGCUUGUUCCAAUUUAUUUUAAAUAGAUGUGUAUACGUUGGCACUAUUGGUUUUUUUUUUCCUAUUUAUAGCAGACUAUGAAAAACUAUCCACAAUUCGACAACGUCUCAAAUACAAAAUAACAUCUCCCACAUGGCCCAGCUUCUAAUUCUGUACAUAUGUACCUCCAUGCAUUCACGCAUGUAUGUAAUAAAACUUUAUGUGGGUGUCUUCUUGUUGUAAAAGAAAAUGUACCUACAAUAAAUUAAGUAGAUUUGUUUACUUAUUUUAUGAACACUUCAAGUACAUUAAUUCAAUAAUAGAAAUACAAUAUACUUUAGCGGCUUAUCAAUGAAACGGGUAAUCACAGUCUAUCGCGAAAAUUAAUAUUGGCUGCAAAAUCUUCAAUAUUUCAAGAGUUCACGUCAGCAAACCCUGAUAAUCGUAAUCUUAUCCCUCAAUGAGAGUAUUGAAAUCCUAAUUUUAUUUCGGGAAAUUCCAAUUAAAUCAGUAAAUAGCAAUCCAUUUAUGGCUAAGGUAAAUAAACAGCAAAUUAUUGUAUAAAAAAACUUAAAUGCAAAUGAGAACGAAAAUAAUGUGGGGUCAAAUUAUAAAAUAUGCUUAUAUGUGCGAGCGAAAAAGCGAUAUAUUUUCAUUCACUACUGUCAAGCGACAAGCUGUUCUUCAACACGUUUUUUGUUAUUUCGAAUGAAGUUUACAUAUUUACGUGCAUAUAUAUGAUAUGUAGAUUAAGCGAUACCAAAUGACUCGAAAAACAAAAACAAUCUUCUGCAAUAUGUCGCACUUGUGCCAACUAGCUUCAUUUCUGCCAUACACUCGUAUAUUUUUCCAGCAACAAAAACAAUAAUUAGAGCCGCUAAUACAACAACACAGCUGGCAGAGUAGAACAAAAAUUUAAAUCUUAUACAUUUUCUUUUCCAUACAAUUGUUUAAAGGGAUAUUUUCAAUAAUUACGUAUUGCCGCCAAUAACCAACACAUUCCAUAUAUUUGUUCUAUGUCCAUAAUGAUGGCAAUCUGCUCGCUUAUUCAAUAGCAAUAUACACGCCAGCAUGACAAUUUUAUAUGCGCAAUAACUUUUCCACUAUUCAUUUUUCAUAUACGCAGGUACAAAAAUUUAGUUUGACAAACAUAUGAAAAAAUAACUAAAUAAACUGAAUGUAGGAUGCUUUUCAACUUCUUUCAUACAAAAUGUGUGCAUUUUCUUAUAUAGUCACUUACAUCCUUACGGCGUCUUGAACGUUUCUUUUCAGACAUUUUCACUAACGCUCUAUUUCACAAAUCAAUUACUAUUUGUAUUAUGAUAUCACUGUUCAAAUUGAUUUAAUUAUUUGCAAACGAAAAUUUUCUUUUCUAUAUAUUCACUCAACACUUUUUGCACCUUCACCUCCACUGACUUCAAAAUCAAAAA